rnacentral:lncRNA from 1 species
CCUGAUUGAUUGAAGUGAAAGUGUUGGAAGAAUACUGCUUUUUUUUCUCUAUGUUUUCAGAGAUAAUAAAAUGAUCUUUGGAAGGAUGGAAACAGUUCAUUAAAAAGAAUACUCAGAAGAGAAAGAUUCUAAAAGGAAAGAAGGAAAUCCUAAACUAUGUCAGAAUAGAAGGUAGAAGAAUGUAGCAAAAAGAAGGAAAGAAAAAAAACACCAAAUGCCUGGAGCUAUGGGCAGUGAAAUGUACUCUGAACACAGUGAGCAUGCUUCAUCUGUCAAAUUUAGUUACACUUUAUUGCAUCUCUCAUUAGCUGAGAUCAUGGGGAAAAACAUUUCUCAUGCUGUUGGACUGCCAACUCAUAUUUGGACAACAGUUAAGCUCUUAAGCAAUGAAGCAUCUGCCUAAGAUUCUAUUGCCUCAAACUCCAAAACAACCCAAGGAAGUGUUUGGCCAGGAAAUGGCCUUAGAUCUGCCUGCACUAUUGAAGAAGGGCAACCAGCAAGUACUCUUCUCUUCCAGGAGGAAAGGGCUGCAGGGAUUGGGCCCAUCUACUCUCCUCUGGCAGCUAUCAUCUUUUCUUCUCCUGAGUUCUUCUCCCUUUACCCACUACUGAUUAGAAGCAGCUUCACAGAUUCUCCUCUACACUUUUGUCCCUAAGCAAGUUCCCUGCUAAUGUCAGGGAAACAGAGUAAAAUAAUAAAAUGACAAGAAAG